GAUCCCUAAUCUAGAUCUACGGCCUUCAUUCAUCCAAGAGCCAAUCUCAUUACCAAAGCUGAUGGCUCUUGUAAGUGGUCAAGAAAGCAUUUUUUUUUGUAAAUCUAACUUCACUAUUGUCUUCAAAACACCUUUCUAAGCUAAGAUCGACUACUCAUAUGUCUCAAUCCAUGCUCAAUUAUAAUUUUCAUGGAAGUUUUUACUUACAAGGAUCUUGGCAAUUUAUGUGAAAUUCUUCAAAAUGAGAAUUUCAUUGCUUUUCUUGUAUUUUGAAGGAGAGGUUGCUGAUCUUGUUUUCUUUGCUCGAUGAGGUAAAUCCGGUGCCACCAUUGCAUUAAAAAGACUUCCAUUAAGUAGAAGAACCACCAUGCCACUUAAAUUUGUCAAAUUUGGAGAAAAAUCCAAAAUUACCAUUGCUAACUUUCCUAAAUCUUUUAGAGAAUUAUAAUUCCAACUCCUAAAUCAUGUGAAUGAUUAUAGAUGCACUCAUGAACUUAUAGAUGCACUCAUAGUCAACCCUUAUAGUAAUGACUAACAACCUCUAAAUUAUUAAACUAACAAAGUUGCUAUUCUAAUUUUCUAACUCUUAUCAGUUUAGUCCAAUUAACCUAAUUCAAUGAAUUAGGCUAUGAUUUAUACCAUCAAGGGUUGUAAUCCCAAAAAUUCUAUAAAACUGAAUUCUACUUAUAUAAAUCCUAAUCUAACAUAUUUAAUUAUCAUAAAAUAGGAAAAUAAUAAAAAUUAAAUUUUAGAACAUAAUUGAGAGCUCACACUAAUCCUAAAUCAAAUCCUAAUCUUAAAUCAAAUCCUAAAUCAAAUCCUAAUCCUAAAUCAAAUCGUAACCAAAUCCUAACCAAAUUCUAAUUCUAAAUCAAAUCUUAACCAAAUCUUAAUCAAAUCCUAAUCCUAAAUCAAAUCCUAAUGAAACUUUAAUCCUAAACCUAAACCCUAAAUCAAAUCCUAAUCCUAAAUCAAAUCCUAACCA
rnacentral:lncRNA from 1 species